UAAUACGUAGGUGGCAAGCGUUGUCCGGAAUUACUGGGUGUAAAGCGCGUGUAGGCGGCAGACCAAGUCGGCGGUGAAAGCGCCCGGCUCAACUGGGCGAGGUCCGUGGAAACUGGUCAGCUGGAGGACGGUAGAGGCGAGUGGAAUUCCCGGUGUAGUGGUGAAAUGCGUAGAGAUCGGGAGGAACACCUGUGGCGAAGGCGGCUCGCUGGGCCGGUCCUGACGCUGAGACGCGAAGGCGUGGGGAGCGAACGGGAUUAGAUACCCCGGUAGUCCACGCAGUAAACGAUGCACACUAGGUGUCGGGGGUAUCGAGCCCCUCGGUGCCGUAGCUAACGCAGUAAGUGUGCCACCUGGGGAGUACGGCCGCAAGGUUA
rnacentral:rRNA from 1 species